UGGUCGAUGAUGACGAGACCACUGCGCAAUCUGAGUUCUGGAAACCAGGUGAUGGAGUGUGUUCUUGAGAACAGACUGAGACCG